rnacentral:tRNA from 1 species
GGUCAUGGCUCAGUGGUGGAGUGCUCGCCUAGCAUGUGUGAGACUCUGGGUUCGAUUCUCAGCACCA